rnacentral:lncRNA from 1 species
UCGCAGGAGGUCACGCUCCCGGGAUCGGCGUCGGAGGCGGUCAAGAUCUACCUCCCGAGAGCGACGGAAAUUGUCCCGGUCCCGGUCCCGAGAUAGACAUCGGCGCCACCGCAGCCGUUCCCGGAGCCACAGCCGGGGACAUCGUCGGGCUUCCCGGGACCGAAGUGCGAAAUACAAGUAACUACUCUGACUCCUUCGGUUCUCCAGAGAGCGGGCAUCCAGAGAGGAGUCCUGGGAGAGCGGGCGGAGCGAGCGAGGGCCCCCGGACUGGAGGCUUGAGAGCUCCAACGGGAAGAUGGCUUCACGGAGGUCAGAAGAGAAGGAGGCCGGCGAGAUCUGAACCCGUCUCCCGGGUGCUGUAAAUAGUCUGAUAAACGUUCACACAGUCUAAAAUUACCCUUUAUAUUUGCUGAAUACAACUCA